rnacentral:rRNA from 1 species
UAGCUAGUUGGUGAGGUAAAGGCUUACCAAGGCGACGAUCUGUAGCGGGUCUGAGAGGAUGAUCCGCCACACUGGAACUGAGACACGGUCCAGACUCCUACGGGAGGCAGCAGUGGGGAAUUUUGGACAAUGGGGGCAACCCUGAUCCAGCCAUGCCGCGUGAGUGAAGAAGGCCUUCGGGUUGUAAAGCUCUUUCGGCCGGGAAGAAAUCGCAUGGGCCAAUACCCUGUGUGGAUGACGGUACCGGAAUAAGAAGCACCGGCUAACUACGUGCCAGCAGCCGCGGUAAUACGUAGUGUGCGAGCGUUAAUCGGAAUUACUGGGCGUAAAGCGUGCGCAGGCGGUUUUGUAAGACAGGCGUGAAAUCCCCGGGCUUAACCUGGGAACUGCGUUUGUGACUGCAAGGCUAGAGUACGGCAGAGGGGGGUGGAAUUCCACGUGUAGCAGUGAAAUGCGUAGAGAUGUGGAGGAACACCAAUGGCGAAGGCAGCCCCCUGGGUCGAUACUGACGCUCAUGCACGAAAGCGUGGGUAGCAAACAGGAUUAGAUACCCUGGUAGUCCACGCCCUAAACUAUGUCAACUAGGUGUUGGGUGGGUAAAACCAUUUAGUACCGUAGCUAACGCGUGAAGUUGACCGCCUGGGGAGUACGGCCGCAAGGUUAAAACUCAAAGGAAUUGACGGGGACACGCACAAGCGGUGGAUGAUGUGGAUUAAUUCGAUGCAACGCGAAAAACCUUACCUACCCUUGACAUGCCAGGAACUUGCCAGAGAUGGCUUGGUGCCCGAAAGGGAGCCUGGACACAGGUGCUGCAUGGCUGUCGUCAGCUCGUGUCGUGAGAUGUUGGGUUAAGUCCCGCAACGAGCGCAACCCUUGUCGUUAAUUGCCAUCAUUUAGUUGGGCACUUUAACGAGACUGCCGGUGACAAACCGGAGGAAGGUGGGGAUGACGUCAAGUCCUCAUGGCCCUUAUGGGUAGGGCUUCACACGUCAUACAAUGGUCGGUACAAAGGGUUGCCAAGCCGCGAGGCGGAGCCAAUCCCAGAAAGCCGAUCGUAGUCCGGAUUGCAGGCUGCAACUCGCCUGCAUGAAGUCGGAAUCGCUAGUAAUCGUGGAUCAGCAUGUCACGGUGAAUACGUUCCCGGGUCUUGUACACACCGCCCGUCACACCAUGGGAGCGGGUUCCGCCAGAAGUAGGUAGCCUAACCGCAAGGGGGGCGCUUACCACGGCGGGGUUCGUGACUGGGGUGAAGUCGUAACAAGGUAGCCGUAGGGGAACCUGCGGCUG